GGGUUCAGCUGGGUGCUGUUAGGGGCAAUGGGUGCUUUAGGGUGCCACUGGGGGGCAAUGGGUUCAGUUGGGUGCCAUUAGGGGCAAUGGGUGCUGUUGGGUGAUACUGGGGGGCAAUGGGUGCUGUUGGGGGGCACUGGGUUCAGGUGGGUGCCAUUAGGGGCAAUGGGUGCUGUUGGGUGCCACUGGGGAGCAAGGGGUACUGUUGGGUGUUGGGUGCCAUUGCAGGGCAAUGGGUAGCACUGGGGGGGCAACUGGUGCAUUUGGGGGGCAGUGGGUGCAGUUGGGGGGUGAUGGGUGCCAGUGGGUGUUGGGUGCCAUUAGGGAGCAAUGGGUGCCAUUUGGGGUCAGUGGGUUCAGCUGGGGGGCAAUGGGUGCUGUUGGGUGCCAUUGGGGGGCAGUGGGUGCAGUUGGGCAGUGAUGGGUGCUGUUUAGAGGUGUUGGGUGCCAUUGGGGGGUGUUGGGUGCCAUUGGGUGUUGGGUGCCAUUUGGGGGGUGUUGGGUGCCAUUGGGGGGCGAUGGGUGCCAGUGGGGGGCAGUGAGUGCAGUUGGGUGCUGUUGAGUGCCACUGGGUGUUGGGUGCCAUUUAGAGUUGUUGGGUGCCAUUGGGGGGCAAUGGGUGCCAUUGGGGUGGCUGGGUGGUGGUGGGUGCCAUUGGGUGUUGGGUGCCAUUGGGGGGUGUUGGGUGCCAUUGGGGAGCAAUGGGUGCCAUUGGGGGUCAAUGACUUCAGCUGGGGGGGCAAUGGGUGCUGUUGGGUGCCGUUGGGGGGCAGUGGGUGCAGUUGGGUGGGGAUGGGUGCCGUUGGGCGUUGGGUGCCAUUUAGGGGUGUUGGGUGCCACUGGGGGGCAGUGGGUGCCAUUGGGAUGCCGGUGCCACGGGGCGAUGGUACCACAUGGUGCCACCCGGUGACCCUGCCCUGCGGCGCGGGUGCCGUCGCAGGCGGAGGUGCGGGAGGAUGACGCCGUCUUCUCCCUGGCCCCCCGGCCCGGGGCGCCCCCCGCCCGCCUGCUGCGCGCCGCCCCCCUGCCCCGCCUGGUGCGGCACCUGCUGGAGGCCCCGGCCCGCGGGGACGGAGCCUUCGUCCCCACCUUCCUCGCCACCUUCCGUGCCUUCACCCAGCCCCACGACGUCCUGCGCCUGCUGCUCGCCAGGCUGGAAGAAAUGGGGGGGCUCUCGGCAGCCCCCAGCUCCCCGGAGGUGGCUGAGGCCAAGGGGGCGCUGGCGGCGCUGCUCAGCGCCUGGCUGGAUGGGUACCCCGAGGACUUCGGGGGGCCCCCAGCCGCCCCCCUGGCCGAGCGCCUGGUGGGGGCGCUGGAGCCGGGCUCGGAAGCGGGGCGGCGCCUGGAGAACCUGCGGGGAGCCCCCCCUGAGCCCCCCGCCCCGCCGCCGGACGGGGACGGGGACGAGGACGGGGACGGGGACGGGGACGCCGACCCCCUGGACAUCCUCGCCUUCCAGGCGCAGGAGGUGGCCGAGCAGCUGACGCUGAUGGAGGCGGUGAGCACCCCAAAAAGCUGCACCCCAAAAGUCCUGCACCCCGAAAUCCUGUACCCUAAAAAAAACUACCCCAAAACUUCGUAUCCCGAAAAAAAACACCCAAAAAAUCCUUUAUCCUGAAAAAGUGCACCCCAAAAAUCCUGUAUACCAAAAAACUGCACCCUGAAAAAUCCUGUGUCCCCAAAAACUGCAUCCCAAAAGUCCUGUAUACCCCAAAUCCCCCCAAAACUGCACCAUGAAGAUCCUGUAUCCCCCAUAAAACACCCCAAAAAUCCUGUAUCCCAAAAAAAUGCACCCCCAAAAAAAUUCUGUAUCCCAAAACAAAACCCCCCAAAUCCUGCAUCCCCCCCAAAAAAACACCCCAAAAUCCUGUAUCCUGAAAAAAAACAACCCUAAUGUCCCUCGAUGUCCCCAUGUCACUGUCGUGUCCCCAUGUCCCUCCAUUCCCGUGUCCCUCGAUGUCCCCCAUGUCCCCAUCUCAGAGUCAUGUCCCCAUGUCCCCAUCCCCGUCUCCUUGUCCCCAUGUCCCCACAUCCAUGUCAUGUCCCCAUGUCCCCCAUCCCCACAUCCCUCCAUCCCCCUGUCCCCAUCUCCACCCCCUCUCCCCCCCCCCCCCCCUUCCCCUGU
rnacentral:lncRNA from 1 species